GAUGAACGCUAGCGACAGGCUUAACACAUGCAAGUCGAGGGGCAGCAUAAAAGUAGCAAUACUUUGGUGGCGACCGGCGCACGGGUGAGUAACGCGUAUGCAACCUACCUAUCAGAGGGGGAUAACCCGGCGAAAGUCGGACUAAUACCGCAUAAAACAGGGGCACCGCAUGGUGAUAUUUGUUAAAAAUUUAUUGCUGAUAGAUGGGCAUGCGUUCCAUUAGGUAGUUGGAGAGGUAACGGCUCACCAAGCCAACGAUGGAUAGGGGAACUGAGAGGUUGGUCCCCCACACUGGUACUGAGACACGGACCAGACUCCUACGGGAGGCAGCAGUGAGGAAUAUUGGUCAAUGGGCGAGAGCCUGAACCAGCCAAGUCGCGUGAAGGAAGAAGGAUCUAUGGUUCGUAAACUUUCUUUUGCAGGGGAAUAAAGUGCAGGACGUGUCCUGUUUUGUAUGUACCUGAGAAUAAGGAUCGGCUAACGUCCGUGCCAGCAGCCGCGGUAAGG
rnacentral:rRNA from 1 species